rnacentral:lncRNA from 1 species
GCUCCGAAAUUCGUGCAGUAGAUCUGAUCCCAGUCCGAUCCUAUUCAAAAUUUGUAACACUUGAUUCAUAUUGAGUCACCCUGAUAGGACCUUUGAUGAUCUCGAUCAUGAUUGCCUCAUCUGAAGGAUAUGAAGAUUUCUCUCUCCACUUUCUCUCUCUACUUUCUCUCUCUAGAAUUUUCUCUCUCUUCAUGGAUUUUCUCUCUCUAGAAGUUUUAUGGAUCAGUGGAGGAUCU